UACGGAGGGUGCGAGCGUUGUCCGGAAUCAUUGGGCGUAAAGGGCGCGUAGGUGGCCCGGUCAGCGUGCGGUGAAAGCUCGGGGCUCAACCCCGAGUCGGCCGUGCGAACUGCUGGGCUCGAGCACUGUAGAGGCAGGCGGAAUUCCGGGUGUAGCGGUGGAAUGCGUAGAGAUCCGGAAGAACACCGGUGGCGAAGGCGGCCUGCUGGGCAGUGGCUGACACUGAGGCGCGACAGCGUGGGGAGCAAACAGG
rnacentral:rRNA from 1 species